UACGAAGGGGGCUAGCGUUGUUCGGAAUUACUGGGCGUAAAGCGCACGUAGGCGGAUCGAUCAGUCAGGGGUGAAAUCCCAGGGCUCAACCCUGGAACUGCCUUUGAUACUGUCGAUCUGGAGUAUGGAAGAGGUGAGUGGAAUUCCGAGUGUAGAGGUGAAAUUCGUAGAUAUUCGGAGGAACACCAGUGGCGAAGGCGGCUCACUGGUCCAUUACUGACGCUGAGGUGCUAAAGCGUGGGGAGCAAACAGG
rnacentral:rRNA from 1 species